GAAGGGGGGGGGCCAGAGGGGAGAGGGAGGGGGAGCAGCCUGACAGCAAACACAGGCAGGGCUCAACAGGCACCUCCUGAGGGCUCCGGGUGAUGUGAUCCCUGAUCCUGCAUCCUCAGGCCCCUUCCCUUCUGUUCAGGGUCCUGGCAGCUGAGAACCGCAGCCUCCGGAGCCCCAUGGGCCACCAGGAGCAGAUCCUGAGCCGUGCCAGGGCAAACAGCCCCCGAGGCAAGGCCAGCGGCUCAGAGGUGACACUUCAGGGGCACCACGCAGCUGCCCCAGACAAUCCCGGAGCCAUUCCAGCUCCAGACAAUUCCCUGCCGCCGCCGCUCGCCGGGCUCUGCCAGGCGCCGCCAGCCAGCGCCGUGCCGAGCUCAGGGAGCGCUUUCAUCUCUCCCCACGGCCUCGGACCAGUGGGAAAAGCAGCCAAAGUCACCCGAGUUACAAAAAUAAAGCCCCACACAUGCAGGCAAGCUCUACCCAAGGGCUGUGCCUUUCAUGAGAGCAGCCCCCAGUCCCUCCCAGUCCUCCCAGUUUGCUCCCAAUGCCGUCACAGCCCCAGGCCUUGGCCUCUUGCCUUUUUUUCAUCAUCCUCAGCAGCUUUCUUGAACUCGUGCUCGAAGGAACUCGCCAGCUCGUUGAAGAGUCCCACCUCCUCACAGUUCUUCAGGAACCGAGUCGGGGUCGGAGUCUGAUCUGGUUUGGGUUGGAACACCAAGAAUUGCUCAGGGAGAGCCCAAAAAACCCCGCUUUACCCACCCCAGCCCUUCACUGGGAGCCCUGGGACACAUGUGUGUCAUCUUGGGGACAGCAAGUGACAGUUUGGAAUGGGGAGAGUCACUUCUUGCUGGUUUUGUUUCUCUGGCGUUUAUGGAAAUAAUCACUGGAGCACGAGGAUUUCUGUGAAUUCCAGGAUGCGGAAUUCCCGUCCCUCCCAGCCCGGGGUUCUGCUGGACAAGGACGGAAAACCGGGAGUCUGAUCUCCCUGAGAUCAUAGAAACGGGGAGUGAUGAGAGGAGAAAGCAACUGACGGGAGCAGCCCCAGGCCAGGCAGAGCCUUCUCCCUCCCCGUGCCUGCUCCCAUCCCAGAAUCCCGGGCAGAUUCCCUGGGAAUGCUCACAGCCCCCGCAGCCAUCCCCUCGGGACCGUUCACCACAUUAACACGGUGAGUCAGGAUAUCUCUGGCCACCACCCAGCCCAUAAAAGCACAAGGAAACCUCCCUGCUCCAGCCAGCCUCGAAUUCUGCCUGGAAUCCCACCAAAGGAUCCAUCCCGAACAAAAACACCAGGAUUUUCCAGCACAAGGAGCAUCCCUGGGAUGAUUCAGCCUGACCUGCACGAAGCAGCCAGACUCCAAACCCUCCCUCUGCUGCGUUUGCCACUGAAGCAAAAUCCCCCUCUGGGCAUCCUUCUCUUCCCCCCAGAUCCCAAUCCAUAAAAUCCAGGAACUUCAUCAACCGAAUCUCUCUGCAGGAGGUUGUUUUUCCAGGGGUUUAACAGCUUUCAGGGCUCGUUUGGGAUCAUUCCCUGCUCAGCAAUGCCCUUCCGAGCCACACAGAUUUCCACGGCGGCACAAACAAAGCCUGGAACCUCUGUGGUCCUGUCCCUCCCCAAGCCGAACCCCAGGAACUGCAGCAGCUCCUGCCUCGCCCACAAGCGCCCGUUCCCACAAAAAUCCCUCUCCCUGCUGCC